rnacentral:rRNA from 1 species
GACGAACGCUGGCGGCGUGCCUAAUACAUGCAAGUCGAACGAGAGCGACCGGUGCUUGCACUGGUCAAUCUAGUGGCGAACGGGUGAGUAACACGUGGGUAACCUGCUCAUCAGAGGGGGAUAACAUCCGGAAACGGAUGCUAAAACCGCAUAGGUCUUCGAGCCGCAUGGCUUGAAGAGGAAAAGAGGCGCAAGCUUCCGCUGAUGGAUGGACCCGCGGUGCAUUAGCUAGUUGGUGAGGUAACGGCUCACCAAGGCCGUGAUGCAUAGCCGACCUGAGAGGGUGAUCGGCCACAUUGGGACUGAGACACGGCCCAAGCUCCUACGGGAGGCAGCAGUAGGGAAUCUUCCGCAAUGGACGCAAGUCUGACGGAGCAACGCCGCGUGAGUGAAGAAGGUUUUCGGAUCGUAAAACUCUGUUGUUAGAGAAGAACAAGUGCUAGAGUAACUGUUAGCGCCUUGACGGUAUCUAACCAGAAAGCCACGGCUAACUACGUG